AUCAAACGACAGGGGAGCGCCGCCGCAGGGUGGGCGCUGAGAGUGCGGACAGCCGCAGACCCUCGAACCUGAUCCGGUUAGUACCGGCGAAGGGAGUCGAGUGCUCUUCGGC
rnacentral:ncRNA from 2 species